rnacentral:rRNA from 1 species
UUAGGUUAAGUUAGAAAGGGCGCACGGUGGAUGCCUUGGCACUAGGAGCCGAUGAAGGACGGGACUAACACCGAUAUGCUUCGGGGAGCUGUAAGUAAGCUUUGAUCCGGAGAUUUCCGAAUGGGGGAACCCACUGCUCGUAAUGGAGUAGUAUCUUUACCUGAAUACAUAGGGUAUUGAAGGCAUACCCGGGGAACUGAAACAUCUAAGUACCCGGAGGAAGAGAAAGCAAACGCGAUUCCCUGAGUAGCGGCGAGCGAAACGGGACAUAGCCCAAACCAAGAGGCUUGCCUCUUGGGGUUGUAGGACACUCAACAUGGAGUUACAAAGGAACGGGGUAGAUGAAGCGACCUGGAAAGGUCAGCCGUAGAAGGUAAAAGCCCUGUAGUUGAAACUUCGUUCCCUCCUGAGUGGAUCCUGAGUACGGCCGGACA